UAUUAUAUUGUUGUCAGUGUGCACUUACGUUAGGUUUGUUUUGUUUCUAUCACUUGCUUUUUUUUGUGUUUUUUAGGUUAACAUUUCUUUGCUUAGUUCUGUGAUUCACAUCCUGGGUCACAAUCUGGUAGAACGGGUUACACAUGUGUUUUCCGUGAACUGAACAACCUCUUGAUUAACAUAAUGACCUGUUAGGUUCAAGGAUGAUUUCAAUCUACCAACUGUUUUGUUUGUUUUCUGAUUCCAUCAAAAAUAAAAGAUGAAAGUAGUUUAUGUAUGUCCAUUGUAGUGGUGAAAUUAGUACACACCUAAGUGCACUCACCUUUGGAGAUUUAAUGAAUGUGAAAUGUUUUAAAAAAAAAACAACAUUUUAUGCACAAUA